rfam:Salmo salar isolate Sally breed double haploid chromosome ssa09, whole genome shotgun sequence.
UGGCUCAGUUGGUAGAGCAUGGUGUUUGCAACGCCAGGGUUGAGGGUUCGAUUCCCAC